UUCUCUUGUAUAACCUACUAUCCCAACAUCAGACCUCGUGACGCAACAAUGAUGAUGAUGGUAUGAGUCCAUUAACUAUCUACUGAAGCUUCAUAUUUCCAAUUCCGCUGGAAUGGUUUUGGGAAAUUUGAAUAGAAAUUGAAUUUGCUUGUACUGUUUGCUAUAGAAAUGGCUUCUCGAAUAUUUAUUCUUGGUCUGUUGUUACUCAGAAUUGGAAGUCACAAUCUAUAGAAUAUGGUACGACUUUCUCACUUUUUUGUGAUUUCUUAUGUUUCACGGAUUUCGAUUUUGAUGAAUCUCAAAGCACAAACCACUGUAGGAAUUAGAGAUGCCAAUGGACGAUCUUAUAACCAAUAUUUCAAUUCGAUGAACACAAUGUCUCUACUGUCGACAGCAAAUCUUCCCAGCUCUCAUACUUUUCCUGUUCUUCAUCAUUCAUUAGCAUAAGAGGAUUUAUGGAAGCAUGUGUUCUUUGUUACAACACACAUUAACAAUAGAAUCAUGGCUUAUGUGUCUUAGUAUGCUAUGCCAAGUUAAGGGUUACAUGUUGACUCUGGUUGUGCAUUUCUUCCUAGAUGUAAUUUAGGUAGACUUUAACAGAGUUUUUAUCAUAUGCAUCUGGGAGUUUUAUGGAGUGGAUCCAAAUCCCAUUGGUGAAUGUUCUUUGCACUUAAGUUGGUUAUUUAGUAAUGUUACAGAUUGGGAAGGCAAUUUUAGAUGACUGAUUAGUCCCUUCUUUCCACGUCGUCUCCAAGCAGCAACUACCGAAUCGCCUAUAGAGCAAUAACGGUGGAUGUUGAUCUUGAUGACUCAUUGGCAAAACCGGAUCUUCGAAGUGAUGUAAAGAAAAAAUGCUAAGAAGCAUUCUCAUACAAAACAUCUUAAGAUAGAUGAGGUACAACUUCUGUGUGCAUAUUAUUAUGAGUUCAAAAUUCAGGAUGCAUGUGAUCCUUCAAAUUCCCUAGAAAAAUGGAGGGUAUAUAAACUUUUUUUACUAAGAAAAUAAAUAGAAGAACAGAGGAUAAUCUUCAGUAAUCAUGUACUACACAUGUUUUGGACUAUGUAUUUAUUAUUUCUUUUAUCUCUUUUAUUAUUUGUAGGAAAUGGCUCUCCUAUAUUUUAGAAGGUUCUAUAGGCAAUGGUCGCUGUGAAAACAUCAUACAAAAGACAUUAUGUAAAUUCUGAUAUAAUUUAUUACACUCUUUUUUCUUGAAAAUAAAAUAUUACGGGUGUCUUUGUAUUUUUGUAUGCUUAUACACACACACGUUUAGACAGUUUGACUUGUGUAGCGUAUAUAGGGGUGGUUCUGGUUCUGGUUCGGAACAUCUCAUUCAUGGUCGUUUAGCUCGGGAAUCAUUCAGGUGCGAUUCAUCUUUACUAUUUGCUUUUGAUGCCAGUUUUAAGUUGUGAGUUUUUUAAAUUAAUGAUAUGCAUGAAGUUUAGGGUUUUCAGUUUUCAGAGUAGAAUCGUUGACUUUCGGCAACAUUGGGACCAGCUUGGGCAACCGACUUCUGCCCAAGAUCUGCUUUUGGGGUUUUUAGACUGUAUCACUUUAAUAUCUCAGUCCCUUUGCAGUCCCAUGACAAUUCUUGGUUGUGGAAUGAAGAUUCGAAUGAGAUCUUUCGGUUUGAUCUAUCAGAGGCAUGUUAGCUGCAGCGACAUCAACCUCACAAGGAUAUGUUUAUGAUUGGAACAAAUUGGUACCUAAGAAAAUUAACAUGUUCGGAGAGCGUGCAACCCUAAACCGUCUACCAACAAGGACAGGCUAGCUUGAAGGGGUAUUUCUAUGCAUCAACCUUAUGUCCAUUAUGCGGCAAGCUCGAGGAAUCGUUGGAGUAUCUAUUUUCUGGUUGUUUAGUCGCUACAGUAGUAUGGCAGUGAGUCUCUUCUUGGUGUGCUAUCCAACCUAACCUCACUUUUAAUGUCCAUGAUCUGUUUCAUCUUCAUGAAGACAUUAUUGGGUCAACCUAUCUUCGCUUUUAAUGUCCAUGAUCUGUUUCAUCUUCAUGAAGGCACUAUUGGGUCGGAGGUUAAGAAGAAUUUGGUAUGCUCAAAAUCAAUUUUAAUCUCGUGUUGGCCCAUAUGGUAACUUAGAAAUGAACUUGUUUUCUCGUCCGCUAUAGUCGAUAUCGCAAGUCUGCUGGCUGAAAUCAAAACAUUGGAAACAAACUGGAACAAAUGGAAUGGUCUAGGUGGUGUCUUUUUUUAUUUUUAAUGUGUAUGAAAUGAUAUAUCCUCUGUACAUUGUUCUUUGUUUUUUAUAAAAUUUGCCCUUCAAAAAAAUAUAACAAAUGCCUUUCGGAA